rnacentral:misc_RNA from 1 species
AGAUUUACUAAAAGAAAUUAAUUUCUCAUUUGAUUAUUUAGUGAUGCUGUUCUCUUUUCUGCGGGUAUAGAAAGAUGAAUUGGGCAUUGGAUCUGCAAAAAAAGAGAGAAUACUGGAUCUGUAAAUCAAGGGCAUUGCUGCUUUUGUGAGUUAAUUUUGUUUCCCUGUUGCACUAAUUUUGGUUGUCAAUUUGUGGGUUGUUUUGUUCAUUAU